rnacentral:lncRNA from 1 species
GUUCUUUUCAACAGAUGUAAACAAAUUUGAGAAAUGAAAAUUGAGAGUUUGGGUCUGAUGAUAUAUGACAAACUAAAGGAAGUUGGUAAAAAUUUCAGUUUGCUGUAUUUUCUUUCACUAGUCACCAUGAACACAUUUCUCACAUGGCACAAUCCUUUCAUGAUAUCCACGCAAAAAUAAUACAGGUCUCAUUGAAAAUGUCAGAUGCUCAAAUUACCUAGUUGAGUGUGAAUAUCCCUUAGUCUUUUUUUUUGUGUCAUAUUGUUUGUGUCUCCAAGAAAUUCAAAGAAAAACUAACACCAAAACCAAACAACACACAUUUUAUUGUUGAGCAAAGAGUGGUUUCACUGUCCCCUUUUUUCAUCUUUCUGUUGUUUUCACUGCAGUUUUUCUAAAAGCAUCCCACUGAAUCACAGUCUGCAAAACCACAAGUUUGUCUUCUCUAGAGAAGUUCCUGAGGAAGCUGUUCUUAGAUCAGAGCACUGGCUUGCUAGCAGAGUGUGUUAUUUUGGUAUUUCUGCAGAGGUUGCAGGUAGUGGAAACUGUGCAAGGUAAAAUGCUGCAGGAGAGGUUGUUAAGCAUCACAUUUCUAUUUUUUUCUCCUCUUAAGCAUUUAAUGCCUCCACACAAGGCUUUUUGAUGUGUUGCAGGAGUUUGAUAUUUGAGCUUACAGUGUGUGUGUAUGCGCACGCGCGUGUAUGUGAUGCAGGGGUAUAUGAAGUGGAUAAUGAAGCCAUUACCAACAUUACACCCCAAUGUUUCACUGAGCUUUUUCUCUCCAUUUCUGGUCUCCCUUAUAGAAUAGGGGUUACAGAAAAAUCAGUAAGACAAUUUCAGUGUUGAGGCUAUGAAAUAAUCUUAGCACUCCUAAAUUUCAGUCUUUAGUCAUAUUGAUUAAAUCUAGUUUCUCAAGGGACCAGGACCUGGGUAGCUCACCUGCCAUACAGACAAAAUUGUAUCAGAGCAAUGCUAUGAUAACCUACAUAGCCCAUGUGACAUUGUGUCAUCCCUAGGUGACAUUUAUGAAAAUUAAGGCAAAUUAAAUUUGUCUUAUGAUUUCCUUGUGUCUGGUAGGAAACCAGUUUUUAAAAAGGUAUUCCUAGACCUUAGGAAAAUU